UACGUAGGGGGCGAGCGUUGUCCGGAGUUACUGGGCGUAAAGCGCACGCAGGCGGUCUGCUAAGUUUGGAGUGACAGUUGGUGGCUUAACUGCCAAAGUGCUUCGAAAACUGACAGACUUGAGGGCUUCAGAGGGACACGUAAUUCCGGGUGGAGUGGUGAAAUGCGUAGAGAUCCGGAGGAACACCAAAGGCGAAGGCAGUGUCCUGGGGAGUACCUGACGCUGCGGAGCGAAAGCGUGGGGAGCGAACAGG
rnacentral:rRNA from 1 species